UUGACCUCGAAUCAGGUAGGGAUACCCGCUGAACUUAAGCAUAUCAAUAAGCGGAGGAA
rnacentral:rRNA from 10 species